rnacentral:tRNA from 1 species
GGGGUUGUAGCUCUGAGGUAGAGCGCUUGCCUAGGAAGCAUGAGGCACUGGGUUCAUCCUCAGCACCA